UCAUGUUUGUCUUGAUUCCUUUUGUUAUGAGUGAUUGAACUGGUUUUGCAAGUUUAGUGAUGGAUGAUUUGUUUUGGUAUGCAAGUUAUUUUUAGAUGAUUUGGUUCUGGGAUAUAAUAUUUUCUUGGUAACUGACCACUCCUUGUCUCGCUUUCGAAGUGUAAAGAGCUAUAAAAGUAUUUAACAUUCAGUAAUUUCUUUAUAGAAAUACUUGAUUCUGAUUUCUAUUAUUUCAUUAGAUCUCAUCUAUAUAAAGCCUGGUUUUAUUCUUUAUUGAAUAAACAUAUAUAAACAUA